rnacentral:rRNA from 1 species
GGGCCCUGCGGCUGCCGCAGGCCCUGAAAUUCAGUGGCGGGCUCGCCAGGACUCCCAGCGCAGUAGCUCAACCUCGCUGUGGAUUACUGGUUGGUUCCGGCCGUGAAACACUAUUUUCUCAAGGUUGACCUCGGACCAGGUAGGAAUACCCGCUGAACUUAAGCAUAUCAAUAAGCGGAGGAAAAGAAACCAACAGGGAUUGCCCUAGUAACGGCGAGUGAAGCGGCAACAGCUCAAAUUUGAAAUCUGGCCUCGGCCCGAGUUGUAAUUUGCAGAGGAAGUUUCUGGCAAGGUGCCUUCUGAGUCCACUGGAACGUGGCGCCACAGAGGGUGAGAGCCCCGUAUAGUUGGACACCGCGCCUGUGUGAAACUCCUUCGACGAGUCGAGUAGUUUGGGAAUGCUGCUCUAAAUGGGAGGUAAAUUCCUUCUAAAGCUAAAUACUGGCCCGAGACCGAUAGCGCACAAGUAGAGUGGUCGAAAGAUGAAAAGCACUUUGAAAAGAGAGUCAAAUAGCACGUGAAAUUGUUGAAAGGGAAGGAUUUGUGACCAGACUUGCGCCGUGCGGAUCUCCCGGUGUUCUCACCGGUGCACUCCGCGCGGUUCAGGCCAGCAUCGGUUUCCGGCGGGGGAUAAAAGCGGUGGGAACGUAGCUCCCCUCGGGGAGUGUUAUAGCCUGCCGCAGAAUACCCCGCGGGGGACCGAGGCCCGC